GGAAAUCAUCUCCCUGUCAUUUCAAUUGGGAGCUGGUAGAAAAGGAAAGUCACGCUGAGCAGCACUAGCUGCACAGUUGGUGAGCAGUUUCCUAGCUACGGGCUUUGCAGAAAUACAAGUUAACAGCAACAAAAUGAUCAGUGCCUGAAACACUCUCAGAGGUUUCACUUCCCCCUUCCAAACCUGCUGAGUGUGAUGUGGUCAUGAAGUUCACCUAGGACUCUGGCUGUAAUGAAGGUGGGGCUGAAUCUCAUAUGCAUUCCCCACAGCUCCUCUUCUGCUGUAGCCUAUGUCUAUGGGAGACCCCUUUUCACCAGGAAAAGAAAGACAGCAUCUGCCAAGACUACAGUCAGCACCACAUCGUGGAUUGAGGACCCAACAGAAGCUCAAAAUAUUCCAGGCUGGAAUAAUUUCGGAAGGACUCUUAAUUGACUUCGUAAACAAUCCAUUCCACCCAAUCCAGUUCCUGGCCAAAGGAGUUUCCUAUUCUGAUCAUUUGAACUCAUCUCUCAGAUGCUGUGAGAACCAGUUCAUAUGUGCAGAAGGAUAUCAUUCUGAGGUACGGUCAUCCGAGCCAAAGGGAUGGGUCACAAGUGUUUUGCCCGCACAUGUUGACUGUGCAUUCUCCCUGUGGGGGAGCGAGGAAGAGCAGUCUCUCAGACAUCUGAUGUCCCUGGGUGAAGAGCAGGGGGCGAACUGAUCACACAUUCUCAGAUUAGGAAAGAGCUGGAAACUACAGACCACCUCGGUGUUCACACUAUAAUGGAAUACAAGAGGCUUGCUUGAUUCCUGCUGGGACUGAUGCUUACACUUUGGACACUUCAGAACAAGUUAAGCCUUCAGGUAUAGAACUGCUAGGGAAAGACUGUUAGAAAGGAUAUAUAAUACAAAGGCAUGUCAUUUUCACCAGUCCCAUUGUUCUGGUUUCCAAGAAGGGCUUCAUAUUGGGAAAUCAACCUCAUACACUUCUCUAGCUCGAGUACAAGCAUCUUGAGAGGGAGAGACAGGGCCAGCCCUAGGGAAAAUGGUGCCCUGGGUGAACUUGUAUUUUGGUGCCCCGGCCCCUGCUGCCUCCCCCACCCUGCAUCCUCCCAUCACUGCUGGCCCACGCUGCCUCCCUGGACUCCACACCCACACUAUAUCACACCCAGGCUCUGCUGCCUCCCUUCCCCCCAUUGCCCCACAUUCCCUUCCACAGCCUUGCACCCUAGGCCUGCCCCACUUCUUGCCUCUUGACUUUGGUGCCGCCCUGACCAUGGUGCCCUGGGUGGAUGCCCAUGUCACCCACUCAUAAGGCCGGCUGUGGGGAGAGAUGGGAAGGAAUAAUCCAUAUGUCAUAGGGCAAACUCCUGAGUCAGGAAAUCCAUGGAUCACAGAUUGCAUUUAUCACAGAAUCCAUAUCUGACAGGAAUCUCUACCACACAGACUGAAUUCUCUAGGAGUGUGUCUGAGGAAGCUGUCACACAAAUGUAAGGGGACUGUUGCCCCCUUACUAACAUUCAGUGCGGUGUUUUGGUUGGCUAGCUCCCAGUAUUAAAAGGGGAAGGGUCUAUGGGAAAUCAGGACCCUGAGAUGGACAGUCUCCAGGAACAAUGGGGAGAGGCCAAUGCUCCAGGUCAACCUGAAUGACAGGGCGAGCAGGCUAAUCAGGGAGUCAGGAGGCCAGGGAGGUCCCAUCCUCCAUGUGAGCUGGAAUUGCCUGGGUCAGACAGAGUGGGGCUGAGCUAAGGAGAAAGCAAGGGCCCAAGCUGAGCUGUGCAGCAUGCAGAGAGAGCAGACCCUGGCCUGGGAGCAGAGCUGCAGCCCGAAAGCCAGAGGCACAGCCCAGAGAGAGCAGACUUGCCCUGGGAGCAGAGCUGCAGCAACCAGAGCCAGAGGGGCCAGAAAAGCAGCCCAUGAAGCAGGUCAGUGCUGGGAGCAGAGUCACAGAAGCAGCCUGCAGAGCAGACCUGUCCUGGGAGCAGAGCUGCAGCAACCAGAGGAGCCAAAGAAGCAGCCCAGGGACCUGAAGGCAGAGAAGCAGCAGCAGUGCAGAGACAGAGUGGCGCAGCUGGGGCUGGAGCGGUCUGGAGCUGGGUGCGGUGAGCAAUUGGGGAGAGCGAGGGGGACCCUGGAUAGCAGGCCCAGCAGAGGGAGACGCCUCAGCCAAGGGGCUCUGCAGGCCAGGCUUGGAUCAUAACCUCGACAGGGCGGGGGAGACGCUGGGAAGAAGGGUCCUACCACUUAGAGCCUGAGAGCGUGUGGCCACCGCCAGAGCAAGUGUCCAACCCACAGCAUCCCUGCAGCACAGCCAGGGCCUGAGAAGAAGGCCUGGGACUUGCAAGGAACAGACUGUGAACUGCCCGGACAUUCCAGAGACACUGUUUGUGAUGUUCCCUGCCACAGAGCGGGGUGAUGUGUUUCUUUUAACCUUUCCCAUUUUCCCUUAUUCUUUUUAAAAUUAAUUGUUGAUUAAAUAGCUUGCAUUUGCUUUAAAUUGUAUGUAAUGGUAAGUGGGUCAGAGAAGUGCCCAGUGCAGAGAGAGA